GUUUACCACUAAACUACCUUGAACACACCUCAUCCUGACUGAUUUCUGAAGCUGAGCGAGGUCAGGCCAGGUUAGGACUUGAAUGGGGAAGACCCCUGGGAAUACCAAAGAUCUCCCAGUAAUGGUAGGAA
rnacentral:rRNA from 1 species